rnacentral:lncRNA from 1 species
AUGAGGAGUCCGUUUCAACUGCCUGGAUCAGCUUUUUCUCUCCCUCCAAGGUUCCAAGUUCCUUUUUGCCUGUCCCCUCCUCACUGCUUGCAGGAUUCUUGCAGCUCUUCCAGGCUCCCAAAGUUUCCAGAUUUCUCUCUCUUACAGACUCCACAGGAGAAAAGUACCCUCCACCCACCCACUAACCCAUCCAAAAGGAUCUUUAGGGAAGUCAAAGUAGUCAUUCCUGGAGCAGAGGCCAGGAGGGAAUGCCUUCCAAGCAUGAGGAACCAGCUGGACAAAGAGACAUGAAGAAAGAGAGAUUUUGAAGGACUUGUGGACCAAGAUGCAAGAACCAGAGUUCCAAGGGAAUGUUUCCAGUUGGUGGCAGUUUGAGCUGACAAUGGGGAGGUGACUGUCUCUGACUGGAAGUCACACUCUCUCUCCCUGGAUGUUUGAAGCUGGCUGAAAGACCUUUGUGAGACUGACUUGGUUUUGGGGGUUUCUCUGGCUCUGAGCAGUUGAAGUUGACACUGGGAAGAGAAACUUGGCUUUUGGACUUGGUCUCUGGCUCUCUGGCUCUGAGCAGUGGAAGCUGAUCAGGGGAGAAGCUUUUGAGUUGGUGAUCUAUUUGAGAGUUGAGCUGGUCAGGAGAAACUUAGAGACUUUGAAUUUUGUUUUUCUCUGGGGUUGAAGCUGAGAAAGGAGACCAGCCAGACUAAAUUUGUGAAGAAGAAAGAAGAUUUUGAAAGGGCUGCUGUCCUCCAUCUUCCUAACUGUCUGAGUCACACUUGUGACUCCCCAAACCCUCAAUUUUACCUGAUUUAGAUUAGGGAAAUCCUCAUCCCUCUUACCCCAGUUUCCCAUCCUGUUAUCCUAAUAAACCCCUUGAUUUGAAAAAGGAAAAGAAUAAU